AAAAGUUGCAGCACAGCGUGUCACCAGAGAGGAAAAGAAUAUCCUUGCUGUGCCAAGAAAGAAAAGACCAUGGAUCUACUAGUUGCAGAUUUCAGCAGUAAUGCCAAGGGGGCAAGAAGUGACCAGCAGAACAAUUAGGCCAUGGCAACAGAAGCCAACUACAACCCAUGUUCCAAUCUAUGACCUCCCUCUCCUGCUGGUACAAGGAUAUGAAUGUGGCUGUAGCAUCAUUUUUGGAAGCCAGAAUGGUAAUACUGAAAAUCACUGCUUGUCUCAAGAUCCAACUUCUGGAAAUCUCAACCAUUCUGAAUACAGCCAUCAUUCUUAAAAUUGAAGAGAACUGUUUUACAAGAUCUUGACUUGUAAAGAAACCAAGUUUAUUAAGGGCAAGAGCUGAUAAUCAACUGACUAAUGAGGAUUGACUUCUACAAUUGAUGAGCAUGGAAUUGGAUGUGCCUAAAUCAACAGAAGAGGGAUUUUGAUGUCAUCACACUGUAGCCCCAGAAGACAGAACGCUCAAAGGUGUCAAUGGGCAGAAUUUGUAGAUGACAUACAGCAUCCAAUGGAUUACUCCUAUUCAGAUUGUUGUUUUGUUUGCUAGACAUGAUUUUAGGAUUUUGUCAAGGAAGCCAUCUAUGACCCCAAUCAAUCAAAACCAUAAGGAUCAAGGCUGGAAGAACCUAUUCCUUAGAGCAAAGGAUGCAAUGUCAAGCAAGUUGUGAUACCUCAACUAUCUACAAUUUAACACCAAGGAAAGAACACUGUUUGGAGAAAUGAGAAAGAUUAUCAUCAGUGUCUUUCAGAAGUCAUCAAAAGAAGAAAAGGAGAAAAGAGAGGAGAAAGCAGAAAGAUCUGGAGUCUGGGAAGUUCAAGAGCAUGGCACCAACAUCUGGCAAGGGCUUUCAUUCUGCAUCAUCUCAUGGAGGAAAAUAAAAAGGAGGCUGGAUGCUCCUGUGAAGUACGUCUUUUAUCUACUUGCUAUCUUUGCAAUUCCUUCAUGCUACAAUGAGAGAUAGAGUUUAAACCUGAAAACAUUCUUGGAAAAGGAAUCUUCAUUAAUUCAAAUAUACCACAAGAUUCACCACCAUCACUACUCUAAGUAUUUUUCUUCUUGAGAAAGAGAAGGAGAGGGAAAGCAAGGAAGAGGAAGAGAAAGAGAAAUGGAUAAAAACAUGGUCAAGUAGAAGAGUCUGUGAUUUCAGGUAAAUCCAGAUUUGGAGCUUAAAUGACUCAAAUGCUUUGCCUACAUUGAUCCUACAUUCAGGCUGCUUACAUAUCUCUUGGCUUCUCUGAGAACCAGAUUGUCACCACUUAAAGUGUCUUCCAGAGUCCUCACGAGUAUCAGAGAAGGCAUAAUCUGUACACGUGGCUUCAUUUAAAAUGAAAAUAUCAAGCAGUGUCAUUUUCACAAGUAUCCCCACACUGUCUGAGGCUGAAAAGAAGAGUGUAGCUAUGCACACUGCAGUGAGAAGAAAAUUUCAGCUCAAUUGGAGGAUGUAAAGAUUGAAAUACCACUGCUCCUAGUUCUGAUGCAAAAUUGAAAAGAGUGCACUGGGUCUUCAAAUGGCAUAUUGACAAGGAGAAAGAGGAAAGGAUGCCCCAGGACAGCCUGGGGGUCAAGGCUGGGCUCAGGCAUGCCUGGACAAGCCAUGCAAGUUGUCUCCGGACUUGAACCACGUAUCAGAGGAGCUAUUUGAGGAGCCACAUCAGCAUACCUGCUUCUGUGGGCCCCCAGGCUGUGGUGCUCAGCCCUUGCACUAUGAAACAUUUUUUUUUUCCAGAAGCCAAAGCUUUGAGCAUCUCCUCCCAUGUAGAGAGUGUAUAUGUUUACGUCCAUGUCUUUCGCCAUGUGAACGCAUGCAACCACCACCUCAAAUAUCAUAAAUCCUCUCUCUCCCCCUUUCUGUCUGCCUGUUUAUCUACAAUCUGUCUAUUUAAAUUCUUUUUAAACAAGAAGGGAAUAUCUUUAUGCCUGUUUGUAGGGAUAUUCUACAUCCAUCUGUUAUUUACAUCAUUCGUUUUCCUGAGGUGUCUCCAACAAAUCCUGGCUGGAUGCACUGUAUGUGUUAUUAAUAAAACAGCUGUAAAAAUAUUAA
rnacentral:lncRNA from 1 species